rnacentral:misc_RNA from 1 species
GAGAGAGAGAGAUACUAUAUAUAUUUUUAACUUGUAAGAAGUUAAUUGUGAUGGGAAUGCUUCCUUCAAUAUAGUAUUAUUUUUAUGUUGUGCUUAAAGUGAUACAGUACUUUUUUCGGAACUUUUUACAUCUAUAUUUUAUGAAAGUUAUUUUAUAUAGUUGGUGAAAAUCUCACGACUAAUGUUAUGGAACUAAAACCUGGAAACAAAAUCCCAACAAGUUUCUGCAGGAACUUUAUGCUCAAAAAGAGAGAAAAAUACUGAUUUUACUAGCUGAAUAAUAUUGUUCCAGCAAUACAUAUUAGUGAGGAAAACUAUAAUUAUAAUCCUAAACAGUCUAGCAAUAGCCUGGAUUAUCAUAAAUCCUAAAGGGAAUAGGGAAACAAAAGCCAACAGCUUGCCCCUAAUAAAAACUAAUUAGGAAUUUCACAAAUAUAAAUCCUAAAGAUAGAAGAAAAGAAAAGUCAACAAUAUAAGUCCCAAAAGGAAUAGAAGUUUAUUACAAUAACUUAAAUCUUAGAAGAAAUUGGAAAAUAAAAGAAAUAUACUGUCUUUCCCAGAGAAGGGGGGGGUGGAUGUGUCUGAAAUCCUAAAGGAACAUGAAUCUGCUUGAUGCUAAGACCUGUGGGCUGCUCUCUUUAACUUCUGUCAGUCAGCAUGCUCUAAGUACCCUCAAGCCACUUGUUCUACAUCACUAAAUUGCUCAGACUUCAUUACAAAUGGUAGGUACAUAUCCAACACAUUGGCAAGUUAUAUUUGUUCAUAGCUGUUCCAUAGAUGUGAAGGACUAUACUUAAAUACUCAUGUCCAUUUUAGGUGUAAAUAUAUAUGUUUAACAUGGGUUCACGAGAUAAAGUGAAAGAGUCCAAGUAAUAGAGUCUCCCACCAAUCCUAGGUAAAACAUAAUUUUGGAAACUAUCAAAUGGAGAAGGUUUGUAUCAUAUAAUCCUUUCGUCCUCUAGUGGAAAAGGCAUUUAUGGAUCUAAAAUUACACAAGGGUUGGAAAAAAGAGUGAAGGGAAGAACUUUUUUAGCAUAUAUUUUUCACCCACAAUUCUCGAUGACAAAGAAUCAAGAGUGAGGAGAUAUAGUUUUCUAUUUUCUAAGAAUCCAAUGAUUCAUCAGGUUUGUGCUUUGAUUUUUUUUUUUUUCAAUAUUUUCUUCAUUAGACAAUUAGAUAAAAGAUUAUUUAUAAGCAAUGUAUGCAUUAUUAUAACAUUAUAUUUUUUGUUUUCCUUCUGAAUACAAGUCAAAGGUUUUGCUCUCUUUUGAGAAAAACAUAAGAAAGCAUUUCAAUUAUACAACAGAAUCCCACAAUUCUACUUCAAAGAGAAACAUGAAGAGGAGGCAACAUCCUUUUUCUUUUUUUUCUUUUCUUUUCUUUUUCCAUUGCAAGAAGCAUACAAGUUAUGCUCACUCCAUACUUGUUGAUCAUUGUGUUUAAGUUGAAAAGGGUACAAUCUAGAUGGCAUUCAUCACUAAUAAGAAAAGAUUAAUGUACCUACCAUGAUGGCUGUUCAAAAAUAGCUCCUAUUCUAAGACUGAGCUUUCCUUCUUCUGUUCUUUAAGUUGAAAUCUGAGAUAAAAAUGUGUAUUGACAGAAGAAAGCGAAAGAAAUGUGGCUAAACAACUAUUCAAGCAAGUCAAUGAGGCAUUUAGCCAAAUCCUUUGUCAUUAAGAUACAUAAGAUGCAGAGGAGAGGUGAUGUCAUUCGCAUAAAUCAGUUACAGAUUAAAGAUUGAGAAGCAGCUAAAAAUAAUUCCAUAAGAAAGUAGUUCCAGCGAUCUAGAUACAUGGGAGACUAAAUGAGUAAUAUUCUGGAUAGUUUCUUAAAUUAAUGCUUAAGGCAGGAUUGGACAUGAAGUUGAAGGGGCAAACAUAUUAUGUCCAAGGACAAGAUAAGAUAAAAGAAAAUCACAAUUGUGGACUAAAUGGCUAUAGAAUUGAGCCGCAAGGUGUCUAGAUUAUAUAGCACAUAUUUGAGUUUGUGGAAGGAUCUUUCAAGUAUAAAAGAAUAAUUUACUCUAGGAAAUUAAGAUAUAAUAAUUCACUUCUUGACAAAAUAUGCAUGAUAAUAAGAGAAAAUGUCUAGAAAUACAAAGCACAGAGAUACUGCAUUUGUUUCAAACCUGAUUUGAUCAUUUCUGAACCUAACAGCUCAAAUGUUUACUUUGUUCCUGAAUUUUAAUCAACAAGCCUUAAUCGUAUACUUUGUGACCAAAGCUAUAUUGAAGACAACAACAACUAAGUCUCAAUCCUAAACUAAUUGGGAUCGGCUAUAUGGAUCAUUUUUCACUAUUUAGCUCCGUUGGACCAAAUCUAUAUUCAAGAAAUGAAAUGAAAAACAAAAAAAUCAUGGGACUUUAUGUAAAGCAAACAAAACCAAACUCAUUCCAGAAGCUUCAAAACUAGCACAAUUUGUAUAUGGUAAAGAACUUCAUAAGCCAAAAAAUUCUUCUGAAGUGGAGCCACAUUUAUUCAUUUCUAACCUUCAACCAUGCAAGCGGACUUUUUGUAAAUAUUGCCCAGCAUCAUGAUGAUGUUAAUGUGAUGAAUAUGUGAUGAAUAUCUUGUUUAAAUAUAUAAAUCUUCCUAAGCAAUUGAUGCCAUCUUCUUUAAAUGAGCUCGACUAGAACAUAGAUGCCACUUUUUAGCAUGAGUAAAAAUCAAUGGCCUUGCUAGUAGCUUACAUAUACUCCUUGGAUGACUUUUGACAUGGAUCUUACACUACGACCAAGGAAUGCUAGAGAAACUCAAGCAACUUGCCAAAACCCAUUCGCAUUUAAAAAUAAAAUUAUGUCAUCUAAUUCUUGGAAAAUUUUAUUUCCAGCAUCAAAUUCAUAUUAGGCCAUGCAAUCCCAGCAAGACUCAUCCACAAUUCCACAUCAUAUCCAGAUCCUGUGUAUUGAAUGGUCAUGGGAGAUGCAUGACUACUGGCCGUAUUGAUGAAAGGUAUGGAUGCCGUUUGGGCAAAAGGGCUCCCUUUUCUACGUUGGCACUAGUGUCUACACUUCAUAUUAAAUGGAUGCUGGAUGGUUCACAUUCGAGUCACAGCUGUCCAUGUACAAGACAAACUGAUAUGAACUAGUUCUACCCACGUGAAAAUGUAGCUGAUAUUCAUGGAAAACUCGGGAUCAGUAUGGAAUGGAGAGGAGCAUAACUAUAAAGAAAAUGGAAAGGAGUUUUAAUGGAAUCUACCAACUGCAUGCAUGAGGUGCCAUCAUAAUUGCUUCCCAAUUGUGGACCCUCACCAGGAAGUUUACAAGAUUGUUUGGCUUGCUCUGCUGACAAGUUGGCUGAGCCAUACUGAUGAACUGGUAACAUCAGAACAUUAAUUAUGUAACACCUAGCGAGCAUGCAACACUAAAUGAACAAGGUGAUCUGUGAGCCACCAUAUCUAGGGAAUGAUUUGGUACAGCAGGUUAUAAUAUCCCAAUGUUCUGAUAACUGGACCAGGUCAGCUGGUUCUCACCACUAAAUUGAAAACCAAUCAAGAGAAUAGUCCUGUUUAUUUUUCAUUUGUUUAUCAGCCCUUGACACAGUUAGAACAUAGAACUGGAAAACCAAUAAACCCAGUUUAAUUAAAAUUACAUUUAUUUGAUACUAAAAAGUAUUUUUAAAUAAUUUAAAUAAAAAUUAGUACUAGCUGGCUUUAUUUAUUUAUUUUUUCUGGAUGACGAAUACAUUUGAAAAUAUUUUUAAAUUUAGUUUUACUAUUUAACUAUGUUGCCGUUAAUUUUCUAUUUUUUAAAUAUUUCUGUGAAUUUUUUUAAAUUAUAAUUAUGAUAUUAUAAUGAUUUCAUUGUUAAACCAGCAAACUAGGAACAAGCCAUGGAAUCUGUUUGACCUUUGGGCAAGAUUUUAAAAGCAUGGUGAGAUUCCUUUCUCCCAUGAAAACAUAAGAUGGUAUUGACCGACUUUAGCUCCAAUCCAUUAAAGCGGAAAAUCAUUUUUUGCAUAUCACUGGAGAAAUGCAACUUAUGGAAUAAUUAUUUACUUCCAUCUAUUAAUAUAACAAACCUUAUUUCAAUACAUUGCCAAAAUGUAACCAUUCCUUCUUCGCUAAUCGACACCAAAAACUUGCUGUUGAUGAAUAACUGAAUUAGCAAAAUGAAUGUGACUGAUUAGAUAUACGUGUUAACAACUGCAUUAAAAGUAUCACAUUAAUUUUAUUGCAGCAUUAAAUUGUCAAGUCAUUUUCAAGACAAUGCGUAGAACUAUUUACACAAUUUGACAAAAUUAAUGUCGACAUGCAUAAUUAAGAACUAGUUAGUAAUUGCCUAGUUACUGACAGAACUUAAUACUGACAAGAGCAGUAAAGGGAAUGACACAGGCGUAAGGCAUUAAUAGUACGGGUAAGUUUGGCACCUACCAGGCUACCACCUCUUCUCCCAAUUCAGAAAUAACUCCAAAGUAGGGAAAGAUCAAAACACCACAAGGAUAUGGUUCAUUCUAAACAUAAAUAAUAAAUUGGGUUGAGCACAAAAACUGGGGGAGAAAAUGGGUCCUGGAAUUACAUGCAAAUAAUCAUCUGAUUUUCAAGUUCAAUGAUGCAACCACAGAGCAAAAAAACAAGCACAUAGAGAACAUCAAGCUGUCAAUACCUGAUCCCCAGAGAAGAUUGCCCACGCUAAGGGCUUGCUGAAUAGCACACUUCCUCUAACCAUACCCACAACACAACGCACUCCUUGAAGCAGGGAAUAGGCAGCAGUUAUCCCAUUUGCAAUCACCAAAAAGACAAGAGCUUUCAUGUCAGUGAAUCUAGCUUCCUUUUGAAUUGAAAAGAUUUCUUUAACUUGGGUAUCUGUUCCAACAAGAACAGCAGCAAGAACUCCCAAACCACAGAUCAAACACCUCAAAACCAGCUCUGCAAGCCUCACCCUCCUAUCAAUAACCUUCAAAUUGGUACCAUGAUACACAGGCACAUUUACAGGACUAACACCAACACCCAAGUAACUCAUCCUUUCGCACAACCAAAAUUAACCAAAGAU